UACAGAGGUCUCAAGCGUUGUUCGGAAUCACUGGGCGUAAAGGGUGCGUAGGCCGCUCGGUAAGUCAGAGGUGAAAUCCCGGAGCUCAACUUCGGAAUUGCCUCCGAUACUGCCGUGCUUGAGGACUGGAGAGGAGAUUGGAAUUCACAGUGGAGCAGUGAAAUGCGUAGAUAUUGUGAGGAACACUAGUGGCGAAGGCGAAUCUCUGGACAGUUCCUGACGCUGAGGCACGAAGGCCAGGGGAGCAAACGGG
rnacentral:rRNA from 1 species